AAGAAAGAAGUGAUUUGAUUUCUGGAGCAUUUUUUCCAGGUGGUUGACGGGGAGGCAUCGCUCAUCCUCAGGUUUGAUCUGUGCACUUCAGGGCCCCAUUUUUGCACCUCAUGCAGAUAAAAUUCCCUCAACCAACAUUUCCCACACCCAAUUUGCAUCUGCAAGGGCCUGAAUUUAUAGCCCAAAGCUGAAAAUUUGUCUCAGGCCAUCCAGCAAAGUUUUGAUGCAGAAUUAUCCAUUGAGCAGCACCUAAAUUACAUCUCCUGUCCUGGACUGAGGGUUCCUUCAUAAUUUGAAUUUUGGGUUAAAUCCAGCCAUGAGCAGGGUUAGACCCAAGCAGCUCAGAGGGGUUUUGAUGUGAGUGAUGAAAAUUCUGCAUGAAUAUCUCAAAAUAUCCACGAUGAAAUUCACCCGACUCGUUUCAGGAACAGCAGCACGAGUUUUAUUUCUGUUUUAUUUCCCUGCAGAGGAAUAAAACAGAAUCCCAGCAGCCUCUCAGUGGAAGAGGAAAAGCUUUCCCAAGGAGUGAUGGCCAGGAACCCCCAGGAGGAGCAGCAGAAGCAAAGCCUCGGGUCCAGCAAACCCCAGAAUUUCAGGCUGCUCCCCCCGCAACGAAUCCAAAUUCUUCUCCUGGCCCAGCAGAAAAAUCCCAAAGUGGCUUAAAUAAUUUCCCAAAUUCAAUCCUUACCACACCUGCCUCUCAUUUUCUCCCAAUAUUCCAGAAUUUUUACCCAGCAGAGGUUUUAAAUCCUGAGUAUGGCAGUAAGGAGGACAAGAAACACCAGCAGGACUCUCCAGCUGGAAUUCCACAUCAAUUCCCAGCCAGUGCCAUCCCUGGGCAGGGUUUUUCCAGGAAUAAGAGUGACCAGGCACAUCCAGAAUUGGGGAAUAUUUCAUCUGAUUUUAAUGCAAUUUUUCAAGAAAAGGUGAAGGAUCAAGCACCGCUUCCAGAUUUCAAAAAUCAUAUUCAUGAGGAUAACAGUUCACCAACAGCUGCUUGCAGAAUCUCCCAUUUUAGAGAAAAGAAGGAGCAGCAUCGGCCAAGAAUUUCUGAUUUUGAUGAUUUUGCUGGCACGUGGCUCUGGGGUUUGUUCCCACCUGCCCAGCCCCAGGUACAGAGGGGAUCCCAGGGAGAUUCAGGAAAAGCUGAAGGAAACCCAAGGAAAAUGAGACGAAGCAGCUCAGAAGGAUCUCUCCUGCAAAGGGAAAAGCAAAACCAGCCC
rnacentral:lncRNA from 1 species